rnacentral:rRNA from 1 species
UAAUACGGAGGGUGCAAGCAUUAAUCGGAUUUAUUGGGCGUAAAGGGCGCGUAGGCGGGGAUGAAAGUCAGAUGUGAAAUCCCGGGGCUCAACCUCGGAACUGCAUUUGAAACUCCAUUUCUUGAGGGUAGAAGGAGAAAACGGAAUUCCACAAGUAGCGGUGAAAUGCGUAGAUAUGUGGAAGAACACCGGUGGCGAAGGCGGUUUUCUAUUUUAUUCCUGACGCUGAUGCGCGAAAGCAAGGGGAUCAAACAGG